UUCCACUUCUGAAUGUUGUAAAAAUCCUAUUUUACUUGUUGCUGGAGAAGGUAGUGCAACAGGGCUGUGCCUGGGCACGAAGCAGAGACUUAACCACUAUGCAAAAGAGCCGGACUGGUCGUGUUUAUAGAGCUUUUAACCUAGUCUCAUCUAAUAGAGAGGGGACAGUCCAUAACACUGGCGCAUUACACAGCACUGCCUGUCACAGUAGCAAGAGGGGAACAGGGAGGCACAGACUUUCAGACUGGUCUGGUAAUCUGGGCUGGUCCCCCCUCUGCAGGGCAGCUCUGAGAUAAACAAGCAGUGCUGUGGUUUCCUGAAUGAUUCUCAGGAGGGGAUGUUGGGUGGGACAGAGCUAAAGCAACUGCAGUUAAACAGGGGGGUGGGGGGUUCCUGAUUCUGAUCUCUGGCUCCUGCAUUGGGCUUAACUCUUAUUCUAUAGGCUCCUGACCUGUUCAUGUUAACAGGGCAACAACUAACUACCCACUGUACCACUUGGCGAUACUGCCCAGUGUAGACUGUAGUACCUGGAUCUGGAGCCACAUGCUUCACAGAGUCAAUGGGAUGAAGGGGGUGCUUCUCAAGCAGCAGCACAGCCAGGCUGGGAGCAGUAAGCUCUUCUGCCAUCACCAGCUGCUUGCUUUGGAGCUCUCAGCGGCUCUAUGGAGCAGCAGGCAGAGACAGCUUUUGAAGGCCUUAGGACAUUGCUGGACCGAGAGAGGGGAAUCAAAUCUAGCAAAUAACGUCCAUCCUGUCACAGACCGCAAGGAUGCUAUAACAUCUGCUAGCAUUCAAGUGAACAGGUUGUUCCACUUAUUUGUGUUGUUGUUAUUCUUAUUUAUUUCAGCGUGCAAUAAAUCAAACAUCUGGAGGAAAAAGAAAAGCAGGACUGCGAGGAGGAGGAGACCAAUGUAACCGUAGCUUUGUUUUAUACUGUACUUUACUACGGUAUGCUGCACUAGAGAGCUGAGGGGAGCAGACAGGUGGCAUUUUCACACUGACUCUGGAACAAGGCAAUAGUUAGAAGUUUAGUUGAAAGACGGGUACAUUCAGCUAGAGGGAGAAAUGACUCCAGAGAAGGAAGGAAGGGCGUCUUCUCUGGAGUCUGUCUUUCUCUCUCUCCCUCUCCCUCUCCCUCACUCCCUCUCUCCCUCAUAUAUACAGCACAGUUUGCAGCAGGGGGGCUGUUCUCUAAACAAGCUGUGUGUUAACGCAGUGCUGAGGAAUGUGCCCUGAUCGCAGAGGGCAGAGAUGCAGGAAACAAUAAGACAAGCAGGCAUUUCCUGUCCCUGCACUGGGAUUCCACAUGCAGCGUUGCACUCACAGGGGGAACAAUCUCUGUCAUGGGAUUCCACACGUAGCGCUGUGGUCAGAGGAGCACAGGACCUCUCUGUCAUGAGAUUCCACAUGCAGCGCUGCUCUCAGAAAAGAGCAGGACCUUUCUGUCAUGAGAUUCUACACGCUGCGCUCAGAGGAGGAAAGGACCUCUCUGUCAUGGGAUUUCACACACAGCGCUGCCCUCACGGGAGGACAGGAUCUCACUGUCAUGGGACUGCUGUUCGGGGCUAACUGCAUAGUAAUAAUAACUGCUUUAUAGGCUGGCUAGAACUGCUUCUAAUGGAUCCCUGGACUCUGGUGUUACUGGAUAACCAGCCUCCCCCCCACGGUGCAGUGCUGCAUCUCUGGUCAGUUGGGAGUCUGAGAUGAAGCACUGUAGCUCGGGAAGGGGGCGCUGUCACAGAGGGGCGCUGCCACAAGGGGGCGCUUCAUAGAGGGGCGCUGCCACAGGGAGGUGCUGUCACAUGGGAGGCGCUGUCAGGUGGUAGGAGCUGUCACAGAGGGGCACUGUCACGGGGGUAUUGUCUGGAAAGGUAGAUCCGUUCACCUCGAUGCUGGGUCAGAACCAAGGACAGUCCUCUGGUGUGCUUGGAUUAAAUGAACACACCGUCGUUUUGAAAUAAAACGAGUUUAGUUCAGCGCACCUCCUGCAUUAAUUGCGCAAUCAGCACACACUGUAAACCAGCUGAAACAUUAUAUUAUAGUUAGUUUUACCCAUUAGCUGUAUAAACUUAUCAAAUCACACAAAAUCUUCUUCCACAUCACUGAACCAGCCCCUGCUUUCCUUCCUGUCCCUCCCUCACCUUGCCCUCGGGGUCCAGUUUUCCCAGGAAUCCCUUGGGCACUCACAUGGGGAUUCCUGGCAAUACUGUUCUUGGGGGCGAGGCUUAUCAACGUGACCUCACACAGAGGGGUGGCUGUGACCUCAUCGAGGAGAGCUGAUCCUGGAGCACUGGAGAGUGCUGGAUGAAUCCUCCAUAUACAGGAACAGGCAUCACUGUUACAGCACUGUUGCUUUUCUCUGUCAAAUGGUUGGGAGAAGAUUUUUCACUUUUUUUUCUUGAUACUUUUUGUAUUGUGUACAUUUUAAAAUUGGCCACCAAUGCAAUACAAAGUUAUGACGUGGAUGUGAUUAUUGGUUGCAGGUACUGCUGCGGGCUUUGUGUUAAUAAAACCCGACAACCUGA